rnacentral:rRNA from 1 species
AGUCCCGUACACGAAAGCACACUUGCUGUGAACUCGAAGAGUAGGGCGGGACACGUGGUAUCCUGUCUGAAUAUGGGGGGACCAUCCUCCAAGGCUAAAUACUCCUGACUGACCGAUAGUGAACCAGUACCGUGAGGGAAAGGCGAAAAGAACCCCGGCGAGGGGAGUGAAAAAGAACCUGAAACCGUGUACGUACAAGCAGUGGGAGCCUCUUUAUGGGGUGACUGCGUACCUUUUGUAUAAUGGGUCAGCGACUUAUAUUCUGUAGCAAGGUUAACCGUAUAGGGGAGCCGAAGGGAAACCGAGUCUUAACUGGGCGUUAAGUUGCAGGGUAUAGACCCGAAACCCGGUGAUCUAGCCAUGGGCAGGUUGAAGGUUGGGUAACACUAACUGGAGGACCGAACCGACUAAUGUUGAAAAAUUAGCGGAUGACCUGUGGCUGGGGGUGAAAGGCCAAUCAAACCGGGAGAUAGCUGGUUCUCCCCGAAAGCUAUUUAGGUAGCGCCUCGUGAACUCAUCUUCGGGGGUAGAGCACUGUUUCGGCUAGGGGGCCAUCCCGGCUUACCAACCCGAUGCAAACUACGAAUACCGAAGAAUGUUAUCACGGGAGACACACGGCGGGUGCUAACGUCCGUCGUGAAGAGGGAAACAACCCAGACCGCCAGCUAAGGUCCCAAAGUCAUGGUUAAGUGGGAAACGAUGUGGGAAGGCACAGACAGCCAGGAUGUUGGCUUAGAAGCAGCCAUCAUUUAAAGAAAGCGUAAUAGCUCACUGGUCGAGUCGGCCUGCGCGGAAGAUGUAACGGGGCUAAACCAUGCACCGAAGCUGCGGCAGCGACACUAUGUGUUGUUGGGUAGGGGAGCGUUCUGUAAGCCGUUGAAGGUGUGCUGUGAGGCAUGCUGGAGGUAUCAGAAGUGCGAAUGCUGACAUAAGUAACGAUAAAGCGGGUGAAAAGCCCGCUCGCCGGAAGACCAAGGGUUCCUGUCCAACGUUAAUCGGGGCAGGGUGAGUCGACCCCUAAGGCGAGGCCGAAAGGCGUAGUCGAUGGGAAACAGGUUAAUAUUCCUGUACUUGGUGUUACUGCGAAGGGGGGACGGAGAAGGCUAUGUCAGCCGGGCGACGGUUGUCCCGGUUUAAGCAUGUAGGCGGAGGUUCCAGGUAAAUCCGGUACCUUUUAACGCUGAGGUGUGAUGACGAGGCACUACGGUGCUGAAGUGAUAAAUGCCCUGCUUCCAGGAAAAGCCUCUAAGCAUCAGGUAACACGAAAUCGUACCCCAAACCGACACAGGUGGUCAGGUAGAGAAUACCAAGGCGCUUGAGAGAACUCGGGUGAAGGAACUAGGCAAAAUGGUGCCGUAACUUCGGGAGAAGGCACGCUGAUAUGUAGGUGAAGCCCCUGCGGGCGGAGCUGAAAUCAGUCGAAGAUACCAGCUGGCUGCAACUGUUUAUUAAAAACACAGCACUGUGCAAACACGAAAGUGGACGUAUACGGUGUGACGCCUGCCCGGUGCCGGAAGGUUAAUUGAUGGGGUUAGCGGCAACGCGAAGCUCUUGAUCGAAGCCCCGGUAAACGGCGGCCGUAACUAUAACGGUCCUAAGGUAGCGAAAUUCCUUGUCGGGUAAGUUCCGACCUGCACGAAUGGCGUAAUGAUGGCCAGGCUGUCUCCACCCGAGACUCAGUGAAAUUGAACUCGCUGUGAAGAUGCAGUGUACCCGCGGCAAGACGGAAAGACCCCGUGAACCUUUACUAUAGCUUGACACUGAACACUGGUCCUUGAUGUGUAGGAUAGGUGGGAGGCUUUGAAGCGUGGACGCCAGUCUGCGUGGAGCCAACCUUGAAAUACCACCCUUUAAUGGCUGGUGUUCUAACGUAGACCCGUUACCCGGGUUGCGGACAGUGUCUGGUGGGUAGUUUGACUGGGGCGGUCUCCUCCCAAAGAGUAACGGAGGAGCACGAAGGUUGGCUAA